UGCAGAGUAGAUUUGUAUGCGUAAAGUGCCCUCUGGAUAGAGAGUUGCUGGAAGGACGAAAAGGUAAAUCUUACGGUGUACAAACUCGCAUCUCGCUGCA
rnacentral:ncRNA from 22 species